rnacentral:tRNA from 1 species
GGAUGGGUGGCCGAGCGGUUUAAGGCACCGGUCUUGAAAACCGGCAUCGGGGUAACCCGAUCGUGGGUUCGAAUCCCACCCCAUCCGCCA